CAGCCGCCGCGGUAAUGCGAAGGGGGCUAGCGUUGUUCGGAUUUACUGGGCGUAAAGCGCACGUAGGCGGAUCGAUCAGUCAGGGGUGAAAUCCCAGAGCUCAACUCUGGAACUGCCUUUGAUACUGUCGAUCUGGAGUAUGGAAGAGGUGAGUGGAAUUCCGAGUGUAGAGGUGAAAUUCGUAGAUAUUCGGAAGAACACCAGUGGCGAAGGCGGCUCACUGGUCCAUUACUGACGCUGAGGUGCGAAAGCGUGGGGAGCAAACAGGAUUAGAUACCCCUGUAGUCCCUGUCUCUUAUAC
rnacentral:rRNA from 1 species